rnacentral:rRNA from 1 species
UACGUAGGGUGCAAGCGUUAAUCGGAAUUACUGGGCGUAAAGCGUGCGUAGGCGGUUCUCCAAGUCCGUUGUGAAAGCCCCGGGCUCAACCUGGGAAUGGCAGUGGAAACUAGGGGACUGGAAUCUGGCAGAGGGGGGUGGAAUGCCGCGUGUAGCAGUGAAAUGCGUAGAGAUGCGGCGGAACACCGAUGGCGAAGGCAGCCCCCUGGGCUGAGAUUGACGCUCAGGCACGAAAGCGUGGGGAGCAAACAGG